CAGUCUGUGGCUGCAGAGGAGACGUGUCAGGACCUCUGAGGGGCCGCGGACCAGAGCUUUUCACCCUCAGGUCCCAGAAGCGGAAACACGCGCAACGUGACUUGUGAUGAUCUUUGUAAACAACAGUGAAUGUUUGGCCUGAGGCAGCGUGCAGGAGGAAUGUUGUCUCGACAGUCUUUGAUUUGAAGCUCCAGGAUGUUGUGUGAAGUCCUGCUGUCAUCGCUAUGGUUCCUGUUCGUUAUCUUCUGGGUGGAGACAAUAAGCGUGUGGCUGUUUCUGUCCAUGUUCUACCAGGACCGGGGUUUUUACCACUGGGGAGAUGGGGUUUUUGCAGAUGAUCCUGGACAGUUGAUAUACAUGUUAAGCAGUAGACACCCGGAUGCAGAUAGAGACUGAGUCAGAAAAAGAUCAAGAUGUCAACUGGAAGACACAUAAUGGGCUGUGCAGUUACUGUGUGUGACAGAGGAACAUAUCACACUGCUGUGCACAGCCCUUGCUAACAUAAGUCAUUGUCAGCCCACUUUAAAAGAUAGGUGGUGGAGAGGUGCAGCAUGACCCAAGGCACAACUACGUACAGGAAGAUCCACGAUGAUUAGUGUGUCACCUCCACCGAUUGUAACAUUUUCACUUUCAGGUUUUCUGGAAAGCAAAAUAAUGUCAAAAAAAAUGCAAUACAGAGGUUCAGUUCAUGACAUUGUUCUUUCAUUUCUUAAACUCCAUUUGAAGACUUGCACUAAGAUGAUAUUUUGAUCACACUACCGUUCUAUGCAACCACAGUUGUCAGUGUCUAGAGCUAUAUUUGUGUUUUAAACAUUAGAUUGCAGUAAGUCCGUUACAAACAAGGCGUAUGAAUGUUGCUGACAGUUAUCAGAUAUUUUGGUGCAUGUUCGAUGAUGCACUCUGAACAAGGAGCUUAUUGUUUUGGUGGUGGAAUCAUGUACUUGGCUUUUUCAUAAGUCAAGACCUUGAGCAAAGAUGAUUGUGAAGAGUAUGUUUCCUGUUCCAAGGAUUUUAUAGUUUUAAUUUCAAGAACGCUCACCUAUAGUAUAUCAAAUGGCAUCAGGAGGAUCAUAAUUUGAACUUGAAACGUCAUUAUUAAAAGUUGCAAUAUGUCUAAUUUAAAUUUUUCCAGAGAUAUCUGGUCUUUUAUUAAUGGAUUUUGCUCAUGUCAAGUGUCUGUCUUCUACUCUGAGCUCCGGUGAUAACUAAGCCAUCUCCAUGGCAAGUGCAAAAGCUCCAUAUGCUGAUGAAUAUAAGGAGGUAGGACUGAGAGCUGUGGAAGUGAAUCUGAUGCUAGAAAUGUUAUGUCUGAGAGGUGCUGAAUAGAUCUGUGAAUAUGUGGAAAAUAAUUGUGGUGAUGAGGGUGUAACCCCAUAAUAGAAAUCUGUGGCAUGCCACAGGGAUCUCCCACACCGCCAGAGACAAAGGAGUUACUUUUCAGCAUCUUUAUUAUCCAUCACACACGUGAGCUAACAUCAAUCACACAAAACUUGGCUUUUCAGCUCUGUCUUUGUCCGUCUCAGUCCUUGUGUGUCUCUGAGUGUCCUGUGAGGCAGCUCAGCCGCUGCCUUUUAAACCUUAAGAUCAAUCAGCUAACAGCUCUGACCUGCGCUGAUUGAUCCUCUGGUACAGGUGAAGAUGCUCUCCCAGCGUCCUCACCUCCACAGAAUCAUUUCAUGGAAAUCAUUUGUCAAUGUCAUAUCAAUUAAAUGAAAUAAAAGUAUUUUUUUAAUACUUAAAAAUAUGUAUCGUUUUGCAACCUGUAAGAUUAUCUGUCUUUUUUUUUCUAUUCCAUCUUGUUCUCUUUUAAUUAAAGCGUAUGCUUUGCACAGCU